rnacentral:rRNA from 1 species
CCUACGGGUGGCAGCAGUCGAGAAUCAUUCACAAUGGGGGAAACCCUGAUGGUGCGACGCCGCGUGGGGGAAUGAAGGUCUUCGGAUUGUAAACCCCUGUCAUGUGGGAGCAAAUUAAAAAGAUAGUACCACAAGAGGAAGAGACGGCUAACUCUGUGCCAGCAGCCGCGGUAAUACAGAGGUCUCAAGCGUUGUUCGGAAUCACUGGGCGUAAGGCGUGCGUAGGCUGUUUCGUAAGUCGUGUGUGAAAGGCGCGGGCUCAACCCGCGGACGGCACAUGAUACUGCGAGACUAGAGUAAUGGAGGGGGAACCGGAAUUCUCGGUGUAGCAGUGAAAUGCGUAGAUAUCGAGGGGAACACUCGUGGCGAAGGCGGGUUCCUGGACAUUAACUGACGCUGAGGCACGAAGGCCAGGGGAGCGAAAGGGAUUAGAUACCCCAGUAGUC